AUUGAACGCUGGCGGCAUGCCUUACACAUGCAAGUCGAACGGCAGCACGGGAGCAAUCCUGGUGGCGAGUGGCGAACGGGUGAGUAAUGCAUCGGAACGUGCCAUUGAGUGGGGGAUAACGUAGCGAAAGUUACGCUAAUACCGCAUAUUCUGUGCGCAGGAAAGCAGGGGAUCGCAAGACCUUGCGCUCUUUGAGCGGCCGAUGUCAGAUUAGCUAGUUGGUGAGGUAAAGGCUCACCAAGGCGACGAUCUGUAGCGGGUCUGAGAGGAUGAUCCGCCACACUGGGACUGAGACACGGCCCAGACUCCUACGGGAGGCAGCAGUGGGGAAUUUUGGACAAUGGGGGCAACCCUGAUCCAGCCAUGCCGCGUGAGUGAAGAAGGGCCUUCGGGUCGUAAAGCUCGUUUCGGCCGGGAAGAAAUCGCACAGGUUAAUACCCUGUGUGGAUGACGGUACCGGACUAAGAAGCACCGGCUAACUACG
rnacentral:rRNA from 1 species